AGUGAACGCUGGCGGUAGGCCUAACACAUGCAAGUCGAACGGCAGCACAGUAAGAGCUUGCUCUUACGGGUGGCGAGUGGCGGACGGGUGAGGAAUACAUCGGAAUCUACUUUUUCGUGGGGGAUAACGUAGGGAAACUUACGCUAAUACCGCAUACGACCUACGGGUGAAAGCAGGGGAUCUUCGGACCUUGCGCGAUUGAAUGAGCCGAUGUCGGAUUAGCUAGUUGGCGGGGUAAAGGCCCACCAAGGCGACGAUCCGCAGCCGGUCUGAGAGGAUGAUCAGCCACACUGGAACUGAGACACGGUCCAGACUCCUACGGGAGGCAGCAGUGGGGAAUAUUGGACAAUGGGCGCAAGCCUGAUCCAGCCAUACCGCGUGGGUGAAGAAGGCCUUCGGGUUGUAAAGCCCUUUUGUUGGGAAAGAAAAGCAGCAGGUUAAUACCCCGCUGUUCUGACGGUACCCAAAGAAUAAGCACCGGCUAACUUCGUG
rnacentral:rRNA from 1 species